GAUCAUGGCUCAGGAUGAACGCUGGCGGCGUGCUUAACACAUGCAAGUCGAACGGAGCACCCCUGACGGAGUUUUCGGACAACGAAAGGGAAUGCUUAGUGGCGGACGGGUGAGUAACGCGUGAGUAACCUGCCUUGGAGUGGGGAAUAACAGCCGGAAACGGCUGCUAAUACCGCAUGAUGUAUCUGGAUCGCAUGGUUCUGGAUACCAAAGAUUUAUCGCUUCAAGAUGG
rnacentral:rRNA from 1 species